rnacentral:rRNA from 1 species
AUACGGAGGGUGCAAGCGUUACUCGGAAUCACUGGGCGUAAAGCGCGCGCAGGCGGUCUUUUAAGUUGGAUGAGAAAGCCUACAGCUCAACUGUAGAACUGCAUCCAAAACUAUUAGACUAGAGUCUGGGAGGGGAAGAUGGAAUUAGUUGUGUAGGGGUAAAAUCCGUAGAGAUAACUAGGAAUACCAAAAGCGAAGGCGAUCUUCUGGAACAGUACUGACGCUGAGGCGCGAAAGCGUGGGGAGCAAACAGGAUUAGAAACCCCGGUAGUCC